rnacentral:lncRNA from 10 species
AGAUACUAUAAUAGAGGAAUCACAAACUAAUAGUGAAUUGAAUUUCCACAUGGUUACCUGAGGAGAGAAGAUGAUCAAAAUGGAAUGGAAAGGAUCAAAUAAAGAAGAGAGAUAUUUAAUCUAUAUAUUUAAUUAUAUAUACUUAUUUAUGAUAUUGUUCAUUGUUUUAUUUUACCACUUCACUAUUCUGCAAAAAAAAACAUAAAUGCAAAAUUUUUAAUAAUAUGUUGCCAACCUAUAAGACAAGUGAAAUAAAUGAGAAAAAACUUAAAGUAUAAUGGUAGAAAUCUAUGUUUGUAAAUUUCAACAAUCAAUAAGAAGUAGAAUUAUUCAAGCAACAGAACUCCUUGUGAUUACAUGUUUCAAAAAUAAAAAG